AAUUGUUAGUGGCAGACGGGUGAGUAAUGCGUAGGAAUCUACCUAGUAGUAUGGAAUAGCCAUUAGAAAUGAUGGGUAAUACUGUAUAAUCCCUGCGGGGGAAAGAUUUAUCGCUAUUAGAUGAGCCUACGUUAGAUUAGCUAGUUGGUAAGGUAAUGGCUUACCAAGGCUAUGAUCUAUAGCUGGUCUGAGAGGACGAUCAGCCACACUGGAACUGAGAUACGGUCCAGACUCCUACGGGAGGCAGCAGUGGGGAAUAUUGGACAAUGGGCGAAAGCUUGAUCCAGCUAUGCCGCGUGAGUGAAGAAGGCCUU
rnacentral:rRNA from 1 species